rnacentral:rRNA from 1 species
UUUCACCGCUACACAUGGAAUUCCACUUUCCUCUUCUGCACUCAAGUUUUCCAGUUUCCAAUGACCCUCCACGGUUGAGCCGUGGGCUUUCACAUCAGACUUAAAAAACCGCCUACGCGCGCUUUACGCCCAAUAAUUCCGGAUAACGCUUGCCACCUACGUAUUACCGCGGCUGCUGGCACGUAGUUAGCCGUGGCUUUCUGAUUAGGUACCGUCAAGAUGUGCACAGUUACUUACACAUAUGUUCUUCCCUAAUAACAGAGUUUUACGAUCCGAAGACCUUCAUCACUCACGCGGCGUUGCUCCGUCAGGCUUUCGCCCAUUGCGGAAGAUUCCCUACUGCUGCCUCCCGUAGGAGUCUGGACCGUGUCUCAGUUCCAGUGUGGCCGAUCACCCUCUCAGGUCGGCUAUGCAUCGUUGCCUUGGUAAGCCGUUACCUUACCAACUAGCUAAUGCAGCGCGGAUCCAUCUAUAAGUGACAGCAAGACCGUCUUUUACUUUUGAACCAUGCGGUUCAAAAUAUUAUCCGGUAUUAGCUCCGGUUUCCCGAAGUUAUCCCAGUCUUAUAGGUAGGUUAUCCACGUGUUACUCACCCGUCCGCCGCUAACAUCAGAGAAGCAAGCUUCUCGUCCGUUCGCUCGACUUGCAUGUAUUAGGCACGCCGCCAGCGUUCAUCCUGAGCCAGGAUCAAACUCUA